AAUAGAUACCCCCGGUAGUCCAUGCCGUAAACGAUGAUUACUAAGUGUUGGAGGGUUUCCGCCCGUUCAGUGCUGCAGCUAACGCAUUAAGUAAUCCGCCUGGGGAGUACGACCGCAAGGUUGAAACUCAAAAGAAUUGACGGGGGCCCGCACAAGCGGUGGAGCAUGUGGUUUAAUUCGAAGCUACGCGAAGAACCUUACCAGGUCUUGACAUCUUCUGCCAACCUAAGAGAUUAGGCGUUCCCUUCGGGGACAGAAUGACAGGUGGUGCAUGGUUGUCGUCAGCUCGUGUCGUGAGAUGUUGGGUUAAGUCCCGCAACGAGCGCAACCCUUAUUACUAGUUGCCAGCAUUCAGUUGGGCACUCUAGUGAGACUGCCGGUGACAAACCGGAGGAAGGUGGGGACGACGUCAAAUCAUCAUGCCCCCUUAUGACCUGGGCUACACACGUGCUACAAUGGAUGGUACAACGAGUCGCGAAACCGCGAGGUUUAGCUAAUCUCUUAAAACCAUUCUCAGUUCGGACUGUAGG
rnacentral:rRNA from 1 species